GUCGUCCUGACUCAGUUCAUAACAAUGACAUUCACAAUUUUACCUCCGACUACAAUGACUAAAAAUCAGUUUAGACUAGCAGUUCUCCUCUUUCUGUUUAAAGAGGAUGAAUACAUAAGAUGAAAAUGUUAAAAAUGAAAUUUUAAACAGUUUUACCUGACAUACCGUGUUGUUUUGUGUUUUCAAUGUCAUCGAACGAUUUGCUUCAGACAGUUUUGUAAUAAUUUUAAAAUCUUGAGGAAGACCCAAAGAGCGGGGUCGAAACGUCUAUUUAUUUAAUGUCGAAUGAAUAAACAUGUAUAUUGAAAGUAUUACUCAGCUCUAGCUUUUCUGGCUAAGUUACGUAACCGUACUUUCAUUCCACGCAGUGUAGUUCAAACUAUUGUAGAAUAUACACAUGAUCUUCAGGAGGCAGGUCCCCUCAGUCUUUUUAAACAAAGUUUCCAAUCAACUGGAAAGUUAAACUAUCACUGAAGAAGAAGCUCUACAGUGCUAGUUCAAGAAAUUGAAAACAGCGAUGUUUCGUCUUUACCGUUAAUUUUGCAUAGAAAGUUUUUCCAUGUUACAAUACGUGAUGAAAAAGGAAAUAUAAGUACUGAUUGUGUUAAGUGUAAGAAAACUAUUAAAGACAGCCUGACUGCUACAAAAAAUUUUAAAAAUCACAUAAAGACAAAAAAUCACUGUGUCGACGAUUAUGCAGAGUACAAAAACUCCAAGUUGGUACACCUUAAAAAAAACGUAAACUUGUUACGAUUACGGAACCUAGUGGCAAAAACGACAUGAAGAAAUUUAAACCAGGUUCCGUUAAAAGUAGCUGUCAGUGCUACAGGAAUCAAUGAUCAAACCGAGACUGAUCGCUUGACUGUGAAUUUUAUCGUGCAAACUAUGUAUGAGUUCCCUCGUUCUUGUUGAAUACGAAGCAUUCAAAAGUUUGAUUAAAGGCUCCUGUUACAGUCAUAACUAGAAAAUCACUGGGUAAACGGAUCGACGAAAAUUAUCUAUCGCUUACACAAGUCAUGAUAAAAAAAAUUCAAUCGAGCAAGUAUGCAUGUACUAGAGAAGAUAUUUGGAACAGCUUAAAAAGAAGUUAUAUGGGUAUUACAUCACACUGGAUCAACAAUGAUUUUGAAAGAGAGGGUGUCGCAUUAGCUUGUGGACGAUUUAAAGGAAGUCACACAUGAUAAAAUUACUGAAUUGAUCAAUGAAAUCCACAAUGAGUUUGUGGACAAAAACAAAACGAAAAGAAUGAAAACUGUUACGGACAACAGAUCAAACGUGCAAUAAUUGAACUAGAUAAGGAAGAAGAGAAGGAACUCAGUGAUGACAAUGAAGAUUAAAUGAAGUUAAUUUCCAUUUAUGAUGUUUUUGAAAGCUGCGAAAGUGGCUUUGAAUCAGAUUUACCAGAUCACCAGCGUUUUGGAAGUUACACUUUAAACCUAACAUUAAGAUCGCCGAAGUUAGUAGAAAACUACUUUGCAAUAACAGGAAAACAGCCAACAUCACCUUAGAGGAGGAAGAGGUAAGAUUCAGAUGCUUUAAUCGUUAUGCUGUCAUUAAAGAACUUUUUUAUAAGUUCAAUACGACGCUUCCAUCAUCUGCUCCUGUCGAAGGACUUUUUAGUUAUGCAGGCAUGAUUUUUCGGCCAAAAAGAAGGUCAAUGGGAGCCGCAAUUUUCGAGAAGCGAUUGAUCCUUAAAGCAAACAGUCAUAUUUGCAAAACAUAUAAUUAAAAUCUUGCCUAUCGGUGGUAAAUGGCUUCGGAGAUCGUUUUAUAAUGUUUCACGCAUGUUCUUCAUAAAAUAUUAAAAAUCC